AUUGAACGCUGGCGGCAUGCUUUACACAUGCAAGUCGAACGGCAGCGCGGGCUUCGGCCUGGCGGCGAGUGGCGAACGGGUGAGUAAUACAUCGGAACGUGCCCAGUAGUGGGGGAUAGCUCGGCGAAAGCCGGAUUAAUACCGCAUACGACCUGAGGGUGAAAGCGGGGGAUCUUCGGACCUCGCGCUAUUGGAGCGGCCGAUGGCAGAUUAGCUAGUUGGUGGGGUAAAGGCCUACCAAGGCGACGAUCUGUAGCUGGUCUGAGAGGACGACCAGCCACACUGGGACUGAGACACGGCCCAGACUCCUACGGGAGGCAGCAGUGGGGAAUUUUGGGCAAUGGGCGAAAACCUGAUCCAGCAAUGCCGCGUGUGUGAUGAAGGCCUUCGGGUUGUAAAGCACUUUUGGCGGGAACGAAAAGGACUGUGCCAAUACCACGGUUGGAUGACGGUACCCGCAGAAUAAGCACCGGCUAACUACGUG
rnacentral:rRNA from 1 species